CUGGUGCCAGCAGCCGCGGUAAUUCCAGCUCCAAUAGCGUAUAUUAAAGUUGUUGCAGUUAAAAGCUCGUAGUUGAAUUUCGGAAUCUGUCCAUCGGUCGGGCUUCUGUCCGUACUGGUGUGGUGGGUUCUUACCUCUGAAUAACCAGCAUGCCAUUCACUUGGUGCGUUGGGGAAGCAGGACUAUUACCUUGAAAAAAUUAGAGUGCUCAAAGCAGGCCAGUGCCUGGAUACAUUAGCAUGGAAUAAUAAAAUAGGACGGCUUGGUUACUAUUUUGUUGGGUUUCUAGGGAUCACCGUAAUGAUUAAUAGGGAUAGUUGGGGGCAUUAGUAUUCAAUUGUCAGAGGUGAAAUUCUUGGAUUUAUUGAAGACUAACUUCUGCGAAAGCAUUUGCCAAGGAUGUUUUCAUUAAUCAAGAACGAAAGUUAGGGGGAUCGAAGACGAUCAGAUACCGUCGUAGUCUUAACCAUAAACUAUGCCGACUAGGGGAUCGGACGAUGUUAAUUUUUUAAUGACUCGUUCGGCGCCUUACG
rnacentral:rRNA from 1 species